rnacentral:rRNA from 1 species
AAUGGGCGGGAGCCUGAACCAGCCAAGUCGCGUGAAGGAAGAAGGAUCUAUGGUUCGUAAACUUCUUUUGCAGGGGAAUAAAGUGCGGGACGUGUCCUGUUUUGUAUGUACCCUGAGAAUAAGGAUCGGCUAACUCCGUGCCAGCAGCCGCGGUAAUACGGAGGAUCCGAGCGUUAUCCGGAUUUAUUGGGUUUAAAGGGUGCGUAGGCGGUUUGAUAAGUCAGCGGUGAAAUAUUUCAGCUUAACUGGAAGGGUGCCGUUGAUACUGUCAGGCUUGAAUUUAGUUGCUGUGGGUGGAAUGUGUGGUGUAGCGGUGAAAUGCAUAGAUAUCACACAGAAUAUCGAUUGCGAAGGCAGCUCACAAAGCUAAUAUUGACGCUGAUGCACGAAAGUGUGGGGAUCAAA